CAGAGCCAAAAGUGAACCGAGGAAAA
rnacentral:piRNA from 1 species